rnacentral:rRNA from 1 species
AACGAACGCUGGCGGCGUGGAUAAGACAUGCAAGUCGAGCGCUGAUUAGAGGGUAGCAAUAUUCUUUAGUUGGAGCGGCGCAAGGGUGCGUAACACGUGGGUAAUCUGCCGUGAAGUUUGGGAUAACUUGCUGAAAGGCGAGCUAAUACCGGAUGUGACAAUUGGAAGGCAUCUUUUGAUUGUCAAAGUUGGGGACCGCAAGGCCUGACGCUUCAUGANGAACCCGCGGCCUAUCAGCUAGUUGGUGAGGUAAAGGCUCACCAAGGCUAAGACGGGUAGCUGGUCUGAGAGGACGACCAGCCACACUGGAACUGAGACACGGUCCAGACACCUACGGGUGCAGCAGUCGAGUAAUUUUUCACAAUGGCGCAAGCCUGAUGGAGCGACGCCGCGUGAGGGAUGAAGGUC